rnacentral:rRNA from 1 species
UACAGAGGUCUCGAGCGUUAGGCGGAAUCACUGGGCUUAAAGCGUGUGUAGGCGGAUCGUUAAGUACCUUGUGAAAUCCCCACGGCUUAACCUGGGAACUGCAUUUGUGACUGCAUGGCUCGAGUACGGUAGAGGGGGGAUGGAAUUCCGCGUGUAGCAGUGAAAUGCGUAGAUAUGCGGAGGAACACCGAUGGCGAAGGCAGUCCCCUGGACCUGUA